rnacentral:lncRNA from 1 species
CUGUGGGAAUCUCAGCAAGGGUUGGAGAACCAGUUCCAUCUUGGCACAGUGCCAAAAGGAAGGCUUUGAGCAAGUCACCAGCACUUAGGAUCUUCUCAUGAGCUUGCAGAGGAGCUGAGCUCUUGGCUAGUGGGGGAAGGUCAGUCUGGUGAACAACAGGCUGUGCUGGGUAUCAAAUCACAAAAUCAGACCACUUGACUCCUAAUAUCAACAAUGGAUGGGACCUCUCAGAGGAAAAGGUGAAGUCAAACAGAUCAGCAAGACAGAUCCGAACUACCAGACGCUGACAUCACCCCUAAUGUUCUGCAGUUUUCUCAGACCCCUCUUCUACCUAACACUCACUUAUCAAAGUCAAUAUUAAAACCACCUGAUGACAA